rnacentral:pre_miRNA from 1 species
CUACUACUCCCUCCGUCCGAAAAUACUUGUCAUUGAAAUGGAUGUAUCUAGAUGUAUUUUAGUUGUAGACACAUCCAUUUUGAUGACAAGUAAUUCCGGACGGAGGGAGUAUUAU